CAGUAGCCACGGGAAUACGUAGGGUGCAAGCGUUGUCCGGAAUUAUUGGGCGUAAAGAGCUCGUAGGCGGUCUGUCGCGUCGAAUGUGAAAAUCCGAGGCUCAACCUCGGACCUGCAUUCGAUACGGGCAGACUAGAGUUCGGUAGGGGAGUCUGGAAUUCCUGGUGUAGCGGUGAAAUGCGCAGAUAUCAGGGGGAACACCGGUGGCGAAGGCGGGACUCUGGGCCGAUACUGACGCUGAGGAGCGAAAGCGUGGGGAGCAAACAGGAUUAGAGACCCCCGUAGUCCCUGUCUCUUAUAC
rnacentral:rRNA from 1 species